GAUGAACGCUAGCGGCAGGCUUAGUACAUGCAAGUCGAGGGGCAGCAGGUUUGUAGCAAUACAGAUGCUGGCGACCGGCAAACGGGUGCGGAACACGUACGCAACCUUCCUUUAACUGGAAGAUAGCCCACCGAAAGGUGGAUUAAUACUCCAUAAUAUAACUGAAUGGCAUCAUUUAGAUAUUAAAGCUCCGGCGGUUAAAGAUGGGCGUGCGUCUGAUUAGGUAGUUGGCGGGGUAACGGCCCACCAAGCCUGCGAUCAGUAGCUGAUGUGAGAGCAUGAUCAGCCACACGGGCACUGAGACACGGGCCCGACUCCUACGGGAGGCAGCAGUAAGGAAUAUUGGUCAAUGGACGCAAGUCUGAACCAGCCAUGCCGCGUGGAGGAUGAAGGCCCUCUGGGUUGUAAACUUCUUUUUUCUGGGGCGAAAACCGGUUUUUCUAAACCAUUUGACAGUACCAGAAGAAUAAGCACCGGCUAACUCCGUGCCAGCCGCCGCCGUAAGAC
rnacentral:rRNA from 1 species